rnacentral:rRNA from 1 species
AACGAACGCUGGCGGCAGGCUUAACACAUGCAAGUCGAGCGCAUCCUUCGGGGUGAGCGGCGGACGGGUGAGUAACGCGUGGGAACGUGCCCUCUUCUACGGAAUAGCCUCGGGAAACUGAGAGUAAUGCCGUAUACGCCCGCAAGGGGAAAGAUUUAUCGGAGGAGGAUCGGCCCGCGUUGGAUUAGGUAGUUGGUGGGGUAACGGCCUACCAAGCCGACGAUCCAUAGCUGGUUUGAGAGGAUGAUCAGCCACACUGGGACUGAGACACGGCCCAGACUCCUACGGGAGGCAGCAGUGGGGAAUCUUGGACAAUGGGGGCAACCCUGAUCCAGCCAUGCCGCGUGAUCAAUGAAGGCCUUAGGGUUGUAAAGAUCUUUCAGCUGGGAAGAUAAUGACGGUACCAGCAGAAGAAGCCCCGGCUAACUCCGUG